rnacentral:rRNA from 1 species
GAUGAACGCUGGCGGCGUGCCUAAUACAUGCAAGUCGAGCGAACAGAUAAGGAGCUUGCUCCUUUGACGUUAGCGGCGGACGGGUGAGUAACACGUGGGUAACCUACCUAUAAGACUGGGAUAACUUCGGGAAACCGGAGCUAAUACCGGAUAACAUUUGGAACCGCAUGGUUCUAAAGUGAAAGAUGGUUUUGCUAUCACUUAUAGAUGGACCCGCGCCGUAUUAGCUAGUUGGUAAGGUAACGGCUUACCAAGGCAACGAUACGUAGCCGACCUGAGAGGGUGAUCGGCCACACUGGGACUGAGACACGGUCCAGACUCCUACGGGAGGCAGCAGUAGGGAAUCUUCCGCAAUGGGCGAAAGCCUGACGGAGCAACGCCGCGUGAGUGAUGAAGGGUUUCGGCUCGUAAAACUCUGUUAUUAGGGAAGAACAAACGUGUAAGUAACUGUGCACGUCUUGACGGUACCUAAUCAGAAAGCCACGGCUAACUACGUG